CACGUAGGGUGCGAGCGUUGUCCGGAAUUAUUGGGCGUAAAGAGCUCGUAGGCGGUGUGUCGCGUCGGCCGUGAAAACCUGCAGCUUAACUGUGGGCUUGCGGUCGAUACGGGCAUCACUGGAGUUCGGCAGGGGAGACUGGAAUUCCUGGUGUAGCGGUGAAAUGCGCAGAUAUCAGGAGGAACACCGGUGGCGAAGGCGGGUCUCUGGGCCGAUACUGACGGCUGAGGAGCGAAAGCGUGGGGAGCGAACAGG
rnacentral:rRNA from 1 species